AAAUCACUACUGAUAGAUCUCAUACUGUUUCCUGAAGUAAUACUCUCAAGCUCAUUUAAUAUUGUAAGAAUUUUCUGUUUGAACCUUUAAAGGAAUAGGAAAAGGGGGAAAGACUAUUAAUUUGCCAAGGAAUUUUUGAGGAUUUACUUCCAUUUUCCUUGCUUCUCAUAUCAAAUAUGAUCCCACAUCUGAUCCUAUUUUUUAAUUUGUCAA
rnacentral:misc_RNA from 1 species